rnacentral:rRNA from 1 species
AAGUACGGAGGGGGGUUAGCGUUGUUCGGAAUUACUGGGCGUAAAGCGCGCGUAGGCGGGUUGUUAAGUUUAGAGGUGAAAUCCCGGGGCUCAACCCCGGAACUGCCUUUAAUACUGGCAACCUAGAGUUCGAGAGAGGUGAGUGGAAUUCCGAGUGUAGAGGUGAAAUUCGUAGAUAUUCGGAGGAACACCAGUGGCGAAGGCGGCUCACUGGCUCGAUACUGACGCUGAGGUGCGAAAGUGUGGGGAGCAAACAGGAUUAGAUACCCUGGUAG